AGAAUCAACGCUGGCGGCGUGCCUAACACAUGCAAGUCGAACGAGAAAGUGGAGCAAUCCAUGAGUAAAGUGGCGCACGGGUGAGUAACACGUGACUAACCUACCCGUUGAGUGGGGAAUAACUGAGGGAAACCUUAGCUAAUACCGCAUAAUACCUACGGGUCAAAGGAGCAAUUCGGCUUAAGGAGGGGGUCGCGGCAGAUUAGCUAGUUGGCGGGGUAAUGGCCCACCAAGGCAGUGAUCUGUA
rnacentral:rRNA from 1 species